rnacentral:rRNA from 1 species
UACAGAGGGUGCGAGCGUUAAUCGGAAUUACUGGGCGUAAAGCGUGCGUAGACGGUCAAGUAAGUCGGGUGUGAAAGCCCCGGGCUCAACCUGGGAAUUGCAUUCGAGACUGCGUGGCUAGGGUGCGGAAGAGGGAAGCGGAAUUUCCGGUGUAGCGGUGAAAUGCGUAGAUAUCGGAAGGAACACCAGUGGCGAAAGCGGCUUCCUGGUCCAGCACCGACGUCAGGCACGAAAGCGUGGGGAGCAAACAGGGAUUAGAACCGUAC